rnacentral:rRNA from 1 species
UACGUAGGGCGCAAGCGUUGUCCGGAAUUAUUGGGCGUAAAGAGCUCGUAGGCGGUCUGUCGCGUCGGAUGUGAAAAUCCAGGGCUCAACCCUGGACCUGCAUUCGAUACGGGCAGACUAGAGUUCGGCAGGGGAGACUGGAAUUCCUGGUGUAGCGGUGAAAUGCGCAGAUAUCAGGAAGAACACCCGUGGCGAAGGCGGCUCUCUGGGACGGUACUGACGCUGAGACGCGAAAGCGUGGGGAGCGAACAGG